GUUAGAUGGUGGUGGGAUAAGGUAUACAGGUGUUAGAUGGGGUGGGAUAAAGGUAUACAGGUGUUAGAUGUGGUGGGAUAAGGUAUACAGGUGUUAGAUGGAGGUGGGAUAAGGUAUACAGGUGUUAGAUGG